UAACAAUGGGUUUGAAUGGUAAC
rnacentral:siRNA from 1 species